AGUUCAUCUCAGCAAUUUGUUGCUGUUGUUGGACUUCUUUCUGCUGGCUAACUGCAAUAAAUGGCUUCGUAAGGUCGCUGCUGGGAAGAGGUAGAAUAAGGAGAGGAAUAGAGGCAUCCAGCAGAGGUCCCCCACAGCUUGCUGCUGUCAGUGCAGCCAGUGCCUGGAGACGGGGAGGUAGGGCUGGGGAGCCUUCCUGCAGCACCUGCACGAAAUCAGACUUAUUAUUAUUAAGGCCAUAGAACUCUGGAUGCAUUAAGUUAAUCAGCUUGUCCUGCACUGACAGAUUUCUUCAUUUCAUCUUUGAAAUGUGAUUCCUCAUUUCUGCUCCAAGAAGUCCAUUACAAAUGUCUCCUACGGCUUUCUGCCAUCUCGUCUCUUUUGUGAAAGGAACAGCACUUGAGACCACUGCUGAUGGCAGGCGUGACAAUGUGCAAGGAGGGGUUGUGUUAUGUUCCCAGAGAGCUAGCGGGACCUAACGUGACGUUAAUGGCCUUGGAGCAGAUUUUCUGAAGAGUGGACUCCUACAGAGCAGCAUAUUUGUGUAUGUACCUGCCUACCUACAUAGAAUAAUGAUACCAUUCUCAUGAAAAUGCCACUGGACACUGUGGUCAGAUGCAUCUUCCCAAGAUCUAUAGACGUGUGCAUAGGAGAGAGCAUCAUGCUGCCAGUCACUUGUACAUGGAAUGCUUUGGAGCGCUUGCUUCAGCUCCAACUGGAUUAGGACCACUCAACAAGCAUGGGGUAGGGAGGAUCCUUGUGCUCUGAUUUUUUUCCCAGGCAGGAGAAGUGUUAAAUAUGCUUCAUUUUUUCCUCUCUCCCUCUUUUGGGAAAUGCCUGACUUAAUUUGUUCCUUCUACUAUCUUCUUCCUCCAUAUUCUUUGCUGAUACUGAGUCCGAGGUGUACUGGCUGCUUAAAGAAGAUGGAAGACUGGAAACACUUUAUUAAAGAGACUAUCAGAUUGGGAAUUCAAGUGGAGAAAAAGGAAGAAUCACCAGCUAGACCCAGGGAGAAGUUUGACUGGAAACUCAGAGUUGAGGCUUUGUACACUUAUUGAACCCUGAGGGCAGAGUUUCUUAGAUCAUGAAGUCUCGCGCUGAUCAGAAACCUGUUACACGUUCAUGGGAGCCAUCAGUGCAAACACAAAGGCAUAGCUAUAUCUGUGCUCCUUCCUUUACACCACCAGUUGUGUGCUCCCACUACCUGUGGCCACUGGGGAACUAAACCAUCCAACGCCCUCAGAACAUUCCUUGACAGUGCUUUGGGAUGUAACUCCUGUACCUGUAAUCUCAGGUGAGAUGAGAAAUACUUUAAAAAUAUGAGGAAGAUAUGGCAAGUUUUUAUGGCUUCGCUGCUGUGUGAGAACUAAGCCUUGCCAACUUCUCACAACGUUGAGCUGAAGUGCUUUUUGAGAACAACUCAUUUAACAGGUGAUUAACACUACCUGAAACUAUCCUUCCCUCAACCGUCUUUAAAGGAAGCAGACCAAAGGCUCUGUAAGUGACCCAACAUCUCUCUAUUUUGAUACUGAUAUUACCAGCAGUUUUCAGUUUGGUAGCAUUCUCUUUAUAGAACUAUUAGCUAAAAAAUUACAUAGCUUUUUAUUUAUUUAUUUAUUUUUCCUGAGUCUCUGCGUUGCCAGCAGUCAUCUGAAAACAAUAUGAUCUGAUCUGCAGACAACAGGGACUUUCACAACCACCUGAAAUUUCUUUCAACUCUCUAAACGUGAGCAAACUUAAGGAAUAAACUCAAGCAUGUCUGUACCUUUGAUAAAAUACAUAGCCCUACCUCAGCCCUACAGAAUUACAUAUCUCGUGUCACAUAUCUUUCUUAUAUUCAGCAUGGAAGAUGCAUGGCUUUGGAUGAUGACUGAUGUUUUUGCUGAUUUCGGAGUGUACAUGCAGCUGUAACCUGCAGACUCUUUUUGGAUUCGUGAAAGCCAUUUCAACUGUACAUUGCAUUUCCAUAUGAAAUACUACCUGACUAACAUUUUCAGGGUGAACAACCCAUUAUCUUCGUACAAAAGCAUUCAUGUUGGCUGAGAAGCGUGUAGGAAAAACCCUUCCAGCUGAGGAGUUAAUAAUGAAAAAGCCAUUGGUGUAAUUCUAGAUAAUUUUCUUUUUGCUUGCCUUCCUUUUGCCUUCCUUUUCCAGUUUAUAUCUUGCACAAAUGAAGAGAACAUCAUGAGCUGAACAUGUCUUUGACCGCUUGCAGAUACAAAACGAAGCAGGAGUUAUCUGAGAAAGGGAAAUGAACCUUUAGUCAAGAGCUAGACCUGUCCAAAUCUUGCUUACUAACCACACAGUCAUUUCCUGAGAAUAGGAAGACUAACAGGAAAGAGGGAAGGAAUCCAGUAGCAAAUUGAUAUUUAAAGAAAACACACAUUUUUAAAAUGCUAUUGAGUUGAUGAAGACUUUGAAGGAAGAAGCUUUCCAUUUAUUUUGCUUGCUUACAUAUGUAACUCUUAGCCAAGAAAGACCAUUCUGUGUUUUCUUCUAUUUUAACUGGUAUUAGGCAGAAAAAAGCAGAAAGGAGCUGCACAUGUUUCUUCUCUCUACAAAACCUGGAGAGAGAAGACUGCUUUUAUAGUAUCUACAGGUGUUUUCAAUAAUGAUUAAACUCUCAUGGAGUCAUACCUGUCCAGAAGUCAUACUGAAUAGCGACAGUGCACACUGGUAUUUAGUUAAAAUAGUAAGUUCAUUUAAAAUAAUAGGCUUCCAAGGACAGUGUACACAUGUGUGAAAGUUUUGUUGAUCCAUGUGCCAAAACUGCAAUUCCCUUUCUGGAAUUUUUGGUGAAAUUGUCAUUGACAGGUUUUGUCAAUGCCUUCAAUAUCCUGCAGUAUGGUUUUAGCUCAGCUGCUAAUCAUGUUUCUAAGGUAAUUCUUGACAAAACUGGAAGUAUGCUAUUUUUUUGUUGAAGACAAAAUACUUUGCUUCAAGGGACCUGCUUCAGCACAGGGUUGGACUAGAUGAUCUCCAGAGGUCUCUCCUACCCACUGCGAUUCUGUUACUCUUGAUUGACACUGAAAAAGCUUCACAGGGGUGCCUAUGAAGUCCAGGCAGGGAUUGCCAGCCACGUCCUGCCCGCACUGUGCUGCCUUGUGCAUGGGCUGAGAGCUCUGUAGGCACCACACAUCCUGCUGUCCACAAGGAAGGGGCUACUGGCAGCAUACAUGCCUCUCGUGUUUGAUUUACAGUCCCCAGUCUAACACUAGCACAACAAUGACUUCGCAGGGAUCUAGAUGUUUACUGGCAUUUAUGUUCCUGCUUUUUAUUUUUUUAUUUUUUAGGGAUUCAUCCCCCCUCCUCCCAUCAGUUGGCCAACCGCGAUGCGGCAUGUUUCACGUAGCUUCUCAGUGCAAUGAGGAUUCCUGAAAAGCCCGUUGUGGGGAAUAGAAUUAAAUGAUUUAGCCUCUUUUGAUAACAUUGUCCUCGUUUUUGAAGUGUAUUUCUACACUGAAGGCACGACAGUGCCCAAGUGUUCUGGUACUCCAGGUCAGAUUUAAUCAGUCUGUAGGUACCCAACUGCAGUUGAUCUGAGGUUUGCAAGUGACAGGCAGAACUUAAAACAUUUCUCAGUUUUAGCUGAAUUAAGAUACCAGAUAACCUAAAAUGUACUAGUUUGAUAUUUUAAAUCUUCCAAUUCGUCUCCUUAUUCCGCUUAAAGCUGCUGUUUAAAAUACAAACCCCAUAAGCCACCAUUCAGCAGAAUGAAUACACAAGCUAUCCCUGGUUUUAUUUUACAUGCUUAAGGGGAGAUUUUCAAGAACAUGGAAGUUAGGCAGGCAAUCUUACUCCCCUGAAGGCAAAUUGGCCUUUCAGAAGAUCUUCCUUCAACACUGUGUGUUGUUUAUAUCAAGACUUGUUUACAGACAACAUCUUGUGUCCCACAAUAUUACUACCCAUCGUAUUGUACUGGCUGGUGGCAGUACAGUCUGUUCAGUCCUGUUCAGAGUGCCUGCACAGGACCAUUCAUCUCCAUUGCUGAGAACAAUUUAUAAGCUUGGAAGUCCUUCCUCAACCUUGAAAACAAAAAUGUACAAGGAGAAAGCAAAAUACAAAAUGUCCCUGUGGAACACGGCCCCUGUCAUACAGGAAUGUGUAGGAAAACAAAGUCAGUCUUAUUCUUGACUCACGCAAGGUUGAACGAGACAGGCUGUGCCCACCUGGCCACCGGAGCUUAAGGGAAGCACUGACCUGAGAGACAAUGCCCUCAUCUCAGCACAGUCUGAAUUGAAAACCCCAAAUCGAAGCCGGUGAACUCAUGUUCACAACAAAGGCUGAAGAGUGACUGCAGCUGCUCAGCACAAGCUGGUCUGCGAGCCAGCAGAGUUCUGAAGACUGACAUCACUUCACCAGUCCAAAAAAUGGGUUGUGGUGCCAUGCUAUGCCUCUUUAUACGCCCAACUUAAGCAAAGAUUGCAGCGCAGGUCUGGAAAAAGAGAACAUGGCUUCCCAAAACAAACCAACCCCAUCUAACGAGAUUAUUACCGCAGCUCCAAGGAAGCACGGGCAGAUUAGAAAACUUGCAACGCACUGCCGCAGAACGGACCAGCAGCGGGCGGGACGGGCUCUGCUUUACCAUUCCCACAUCCCUCUCCAGCCCGCCUGGAAACGAUGCCUUUCCUGGCAACCCGCAUUCUGGGACGGGACAA